AGUCCCGUAGCUCAGUUGGCCAGAGCAAACGACCGAUAAUCGUUGUGUCACGCGUUCGAAUCGCGUCGGGACUA
rfam:TNVERIFIED: Cronobacter phage S13, complete genome.